rnacentral:siRNA from 1 species
CGCGAAGCUACCGUGCGCUGG